rnacentral:rRNA from 1 species
GAUGAACGCUGGCGGCGUGCCUAAUACAUGCAAGUCUAGCGAACAGAUGAGGAGCUUGCUCCUCUGACGUUAGCGGCGGACGGGUGAGUAACACGUGGAUAACCUACCUAUAAGACUGGGAUAACUUCGGGAAACCGGAGCUAAUACCGGAUAAUAUAUUGAACCGCAUGGUUCAAUAGUGAAAUACGGUUUUGCUGUCACUUAUAGAUGGAUCCGCGCCGCUUUAGCUAGUUGGUAAGGUAACGGCUUACCAAGGCAACGAUGCGUAGCCGACCUGAGAGGGUGAUCGGCCACACUGGAGCUGGAACACGAUCAAGACUCCUACGGGAGGCAGCAGAAGGGAAUCUUCCGCAAUAGGCGAAAGCAUGACAGAGCAGCGCCGCGUGAGUGAUGAAGGUCUUCGGAUCGUAAAACUCUGUUAUGAGGGAAGAACAAAUGUGUAAGUAACUAUGCACGUCGUGACGGUACCUGAUAAGAAAGCAACGGCUAAAUACGUG